rnacentral:rRNA from 1 species
AUUGAACGCUGGCGGCAGGCCUAACACAUGCAAGUCGAGCGGAUGAAGGGAGCUUGCUCCUGGAUUCAGCGGCGGACGGGUGAGUAAUGCCUAGGAAUCUGCCUGGUAGUGGGGGAUAACGUCCGGAAACGGGCGCUAAUACCGCAUACGUCCUGAGGGAGAAAGUGGGGGAUCUUCGGACCUCACGCUAUCAGAUGAGCCUAGGUCGGAUUAGCUAGUUGGUGGGGUAAAGGCCUACCAAGGCGACGAUCCGUAACUGGUCUGAGAGGAUGAUCAGUCACACUGGAACUUGACCACGGUCCAGACUCCUACGGGGGGCAGCAGUGGGGAAUAUUGGACAAUGGGCGAAAGCCUGAUCCAGCCAUGCCGCGUGUGUGAAGAAGGUCUUCGGAUUGUAAAGCACUUUAAGUUGGGAGGAAGGGCAGUAAGUUAAUACCUUGCUGUUUUGACGUUACCAACAGAAUAAGCACCGGCUAACUUCGUG